GCGGACGUGGCGAAACUGGUAGACGCACGAGACUUAAAAUCUUGCGCCCUCAAAGGCUUACGGGUUCGAGUCCCGUCGUCCGCACCA
rnacentral:tRNA from 1 species